ensembl:lncRNA TTTY14 testis expressed transcript, Y-linked 14
UGCCGCGCAGCCGAGUGGCGGGCUAGCAUACCGCCUGCCCGCAAUUCGGCCAGGCCUCGAGCCUGCUCCGCCUUCCCGCUGCGGUAGCGCCGCCGGGGAAACGCCGCCACGGGCUGCAUGGGCAGCGCUCGCGCCCCGCCGCUGAGCCGCCGGGGAGCCGUCCAGUCUUCGAAUCCCACAGGGCAGUUUACUUCUAUAGAAGGGUGCACCCUCACAGAUGGACCAAUGUGUCAGGAGAAUUCAGUCACACCCAAAGCAGGAGAUGCGGGAGGCCAGAUGCGCAAGAUGGACACUCGGCUCCUCCUUCGUCCCCGCCUCUCCUCGCUUCCAGGGUAGCAGCCUCAACAAGGGAAACUAUUGUUCCAGUGGAGGCUGCGAGGAUGUCGGUGAUUUACGCGCCGAGCUGUAGCUGCAAAAGGACAAGGGCAAGUGCCGGCCCGACCUAGGUGAGUGCAGCUGGGGUCCCGAGGGUAGCGUCCCAGAGCCGCGGGCUGGGAGGCGCUGUGGAUGGCAGCGGGGCGCUGUGAGAGUAUCAAGAGGUACUGAGGCUAGACAAUGGGAGGGACUUCCCAGUGAGGAGGGAGUGAGAAGUGAUAGCUCUGUGCACCCGGAGACGCAAACACGCCCAACCCUGGGGCCACCGGGCCGAGGCUGAUGGGAGACAAUGGGAGACGGCUUUGAUGAGUGGAGAAACACCAGGGUUUUUUGUUUUCUGUUGAAUUGGAUAAAAUGACAGCAACACACGUGGAGUGAAUUUAAGGAGCGGAGAGUUUAAUAGGCAGCAUGAAGGAAGGAGCUUUCUUUUACAGAGACAGAGGGAGGAGGGCUCUAUAGCCGAGAUAGGAAACCUGGAGUGCCCCGAGAUACUAGCCAGUUAUAUGAGGAGUCGGUGUUUGAUAUGCUUAGGGUAUUGGUUUGACCAGGAAUAUUGUUCCCAUAGUCUUUGAAAAAACUGACCCUUGCACCUUAGCCUUUUAAUAUGCAAACACAGGGGCCCUGAUGUUCUAUACACGUGGGGAUAUGUCGAGGUGGCCAUGUUGCCAGGCAAAUAUGGGGGCAAGGGCAAGAGGAAAACCGUGAGAAUCGCCAUGUUUGGGUGGACCCAGUUUCUAAUGGUGUGCAUUUGCAUGUCAAAGGUUGCCAGCGGGCUCUUAGCUAGGCUUUCCUGCUAGACAAGAAGCGUUCCUGGAGCUGCUUUAGAAGAGAUGAAAGCUUUUCAAGGACCCUUUUUCCCCUCUAUCUGCCUGAAAUAAUUUCCUAAUAACUCCUGUAACAUUCCUCCUUCUGAACAAGUUAACCCUAACUGCUGUUAGGGUGUUUAGGGCCACCACAUUUUCUCACUGCUUUCUGCUGAAAAGGGACGCUGAAUGGGGAACAGCAGCUAAGGCUUCUCCGGGGGUUUUAAGGGUCCUUGGAAGAAUGGCAUAUUCAUGCGUGGUUUAGUUUGCAGCACCAUUGGGAGCUGGAUUGCUUUUAGGCAAGAAGAAACAAUUUGACUUAUAGUAUUGUUAGAUAUGAGCUGUAAAUUUCUCUUCAAAAAAUCAGUAUGUAUGUUCAAUUCUUUGCUUUCUACUUUUAAACUUAACAUCCUUGUAGCACAACGUUUUUCGAUUACCUGCUCCACCCUGACUCAUUCCGAUUACCUGCUCUGCCCUGACUCAUUUUCCACCCUGACUCUUUCUGAUUUCCUGCUCUGCCAUAACCAUUUUUCCAGCCAAACCACUCACCCGUACACUAUCUUUAAAUUAGCCAAUUGGAAUUAGUUUAGCCUGUGCAUCUAACCCUAGCCAAUAGGGGAACACAGCAGCAGGGUCCACGUGGAUCGGGAAUAAGAACCUCCUCUCCUCCCUUGUCCAGGUGUGUGCUCACUAUUGCUCCAAAUGUAAGGGGGCACCCUUCUAUAGAAUUACAUUGCCUUGCUGAGAAUUAAAAAAAAAAAAAUUAUAUUUGAGUGCUGUUUCUUUUGCGGCACAAAACUUUAUAACAAUUUGGGGGGCUCACCUGUAAUUACAUUCCUCUCAGGGCCCACCGGUCUCUGGCUUGCUCUUGUGAGUAGGUGCACCCUGCCCGCUUGUGGUGGCCUCAGGGGUAAGAAAUCAGGACCCACCCAGUGAGAGAAAUAACCCAAGCUGUCAGCAACGCGGAAAGAAAUGGGCUAGCAACCUCUUAAAGCAUCCUCACGUACUGCGGCGAUGACUCUGUGCACAGACCAAGGAAGGAGAGAGGCCGCGGAAGUCAGCCACAGCAUGUUCCGAAGAGAUGAUUGGAAGAUGGAAGUGGAGGGUUAAAUAAUGAAAUGCAGCUAACAUUUCGGAAAGUUUCUAAAAGUUGUACAACAUGCCCUACAGCUACUCUUUAAAUCUCCAAAUCAAAUGAGAAAUGCAACAACUUGAGCAAGAGUGAUCAGUUACUAAGAGGAGUACCUAACGUCCUUAGAAGAAAAGAUUCAGAUCAUAGGGAUUUUAUUUACAGAAAUGUAUUUACCUGUUUGUAAUGUAUGCCAGUUUAGAUGGAGUCUAGCUCUGUGUCCAGGCUGGAGUGCAGGGACAAGAUCUCGGCUCACUGCAACCUCCACCUCCUGUGUUCAAGUGAUUCCACAGGCUUAGCCUCCCUAGAAGCUGGGACUACAGAGUCUCGUUCUGUCACCCGGGCUGGAGUGCAGGAGGACAAUCUCGGCUCGCUGAAACCUCUGCCGCCUGGGUUCAAGCAAUUCUCUGGGUCAGCGUCCUGCGUAGCUGGGAUUACAAGCGCCUGCCACCACAGUUGGCUAAUGUUUAAAAGAGAUGGGGUUUCACCGUCUUGACCAGCCUGGUUUUGAGAAAAAUCAUAAUUUUAAAAAACUGUGCUUAUGCUAAAAACAGAUCCUUAGCAUUCUUCCAGUAUUCUUAGUUGUGUCAUUUGCUUUAAAAUAAGCCUAAGAAUUGCACCAGAAUUAGCUGCACAACUCCGCCAGGAAAUGCAAAGUUUUAUUGUUAUAGGAUUCUAGAAACAAUCAUAUUAUAUAUCUGGAAACUCUAUACACACAUGCCCACACACACAAAAACACACACAAUUUUCACUGAAUAGACAUCAUAAUAAGCACACUGAAAACCUAAUAAAGUUAUUAUAAAGCUGUAGAACACAAUGAUUAAAAGCAAAUGAUAAUCUUAAAUUUUAAAGAACUGAAAAUAUUAGAAUUUAAGAAUUAAAAUGUUCUAAUUGUUCUUUGGUCCACUAUCAUAGAUUUCAAGCAGAUUAAUUAAUGUAGUAGAAUGACAUUAAUAGUUCCUAUCAAUGGGAUUUAAUUUAUACCAUUUUGAAAAUAGUUUGUUGUCAUAUAUUGUUUACUGUGUGACUUCUUGUAUUUGCUCUAAAGUAAGGCUAAAUCACAUCUUAGCCUCAUCUCAUCCAAGGAAGUGAUUACAGUAAAGGUAUCCAUGUUGGGUUAAUGUGUAAAAUAGUGGUUGUGGAUUAAUGUGGGUUUGAUGUAGGAAUUUAUUAUUCUCCUUAUUAAGAUUAGCUUGAAAUGUACUGUGUGACGAAUAUUUAGUCUAUUCAAUAAGUGGUAUUCAACAGAUAUAUAUCAACAAGUGCUAUGUACCAACCACUGUUCAAGGUGGCAGAUAAAAAUAUAGGCAAAGAUAAUAUUAAUCCAAAUUGCACAUGAAAACAUUUGAUACUAUUGAUAAUGUGGCAGAUGAAAUGAUUUUCACUUUAUUAUAAUUUUUAAGAGAAUGAGAUAAUUAAAUGUGUACUGUAAGUGUUACAAGAAGCCUAUCCAUGUUAUUCUUUACUGAAAUAAUUAGAUUACAAAAAUCACCUUUUUCAAAAGAAAUUUAUAUUAUAAAUGCUCCCAUGGCAAAAACAAAAAGCCUGGUCUUUGACUUGGAAUAUAUUCUUAUUAUAUAAAGUAAGAUACAUGGCAGAGAGAAGAAAAAACAAUUUUAUUCAUCUGUCCUGGUAAUGACAAAAAAGACAGAAGUCAUAUUUUUUUUGCAAUUUUAGAUUGGACUCCUAAGAAUAGCAGACAGUUGGCAGUGUAAAUAUGUUGUAAAUUAGCUAGCCCUGAAACAAAAUGACUGAUCAUUAGCAAAUCGGGCAACUUUUAUUAUUGCCAUUGUAAGUUGCUUUACCUAUCAUGAGUGUGCUCUUAUACUAUUAGAAUUGAAAUCUAUUCUGUACUGCCAAUUUAUAUCCCUGUUUUAUAAUCUUGGGAUUCUUGCUUUACAUUCUAAAAUGUUGUCUCUGAACAAUUAGUGAAUAUCAAGUAAGUUUUUUAUUUUUUUUAAAGGUAGUCUUAAAAGUCUAAUGAUCUUUAGUGAAAAUAAUGAGGAGAUUUGGAUAUGGUGGUUCAUUUCUGUAAUCCCAAGUAGUUGGAAGGAUGAGGCAGGAGUAUAUUACUUGAACCCUGGAGUGUGAGGACUGAUUGAGCUAUGUGCUAUCAUCAUGCCACUGCAGUCCAGCCUGGGCCACAGAGCAUAAUCUGAAUAAAAAAUAGAACUAUAAAAAGUAAUAUAGCAUUGCUGUUUUUAAUUCACUUGUAGUAAUGCAUAGAUAGCAUAUUUAGCCAAAACGUUUUAAACUGGUAAUAUGCCAAGAGGUCAGAUGUUUGAGUCAGAUUGCUAGCUAGCUCCUCAACUGGCUAAAUCUGUAGUAUUUUGCAAAGUAUUUCUCCUAAAUGUAAUUAGUUUUUUUAUUUGUUAAAUGGAUUUACUAAUGCUACCUGCUUAGGAAACUAACUCUGAUAUUAAUUAGUUUACCUCAAAAACUUGUUCUGAAUGACAUAUAUUAGGCAAUAAAAUAUUAGCUACUACUUGAUAUUACAAAUUCUUUUCAUCUGUUUACUUUUAAAGCUCAUAGUGAGCACAAUAAAAUUCCAGAAGACCGAUGAUGGCUGUUAGAUAUAACAGAACGCUCUGAGAGUCACUAUCAGAAAUGAGCAUAUCAGUGCAUAAAAUGUAUGGUAGCUUUAUUUAGCAGCUGUUUCAUUGUUUACCAUAGCAUUUUUUCUUACAAUUUUGUAGAAGCCUGUGUCAGAAUCAAGAAGUUUUUUUUAGAAGAUGAUAAUCAUGGAUGAUUGAAAUCAUACUGAAAAUUAUUCUAAAUUCUAUUAUAUUUAUAGUUGUAUUUUCUUUCAAAGGAUAAUGGAAGUCUUAAAAAGAAAAUGGAUACUUCUCUGCCAGGGGAGAUACUGUGAUCAUGAAGGUGGCUUUCCCAGGGCAAGGCUGAUCUAUUGCAUUCUGGAUGUGCUGACUCCUACGAUUUCCCCAAGUGUGGGAAACUCAACUGCAUAAUUUGUGGAAAAUUUGAAGCCAGAUGACAAAGAUGCCUUAGAUGAGCAUAAGUCCUCUCCAACAGAAUAUGCUCCAUUAUAUCCUCAUCCAACAGGCUUUAUGUAUCAAUAGCCUGCCAACAGGACAUUGUUCAUCCACCUUGAAACGGCCAUUCAUCAACCAAGCAGGUUGUUGUUGUCAAUAGGGAGCUCUUCAAAGGGCAUUGCCCAUGUGACAGUGGGAUCCAGUAAUUCCUGAGGUGGUUCCAGACUACAUGCUAGAAAAUUCCCUACUACCUGCUCUUGAACAGGAUGAGCAACUCCUUGCACUUCCCUGGUUUGUGAUGAAGAAAUAAACAAUGCCCAGUUCCUGCCCUGGAGAAGCUCAUUGCAUAGAAAAAGGAAAAAGGCAGAUAUACAUGCCACAGUACAGUGCUGAGACAACAUAAAUCACAAGCAACCAAGUACAAAGUGAAUUAUACAGAAUCUGGUUUUCUUCUGUUUGGAUUUGAUACUGAGCUAUACUGGAUUCACUGACAAGAAGAGUUUGAAUUAGCAGCAUGCUGAGAAUGGACACAGUGUUUGAAGAGACUGAUAAAGAAAGUACAGGAGGAGUUUUAUUUUUGGAAGAAGAAAUGGUCCUUGGGCACAGACCCCAUAUGAGUUUUCCUUUCAGCGUUCUCUGCUCAGCUGUUCUCUGCUGUGGUGAGGCGCCUAUGCUUUGUAUAUGUCUGAAAUUAAUUGAAAAGCUAGUGACAGAUUCUGAUGUCAUUUGCCAUGAGCUUUAUUAUUGUGCAGGUAAUUUUGGAUCAAAUCACCCUAACGUUUUUCAACAAAGACUUUAGAAGAAAUAAAGCUGCAUUACUUUUUCUUGGCGCAUUCUUCCUUUAGGACCUAUAGUGAGGACCCACCCAACAGUGGCCUCAGCUUGGGGACAUCUGGAGUCGCAUCCACCAUGAGGACGAAGCCUCCUUCUCUUCUGGACCUGCCCAGGAGUGGCCGUUGCUACAAGACCUCUGUUGCUACGUCCAGGGUGAGAAUAAAGACUUCUCCUCAGGACUCUCCCAGGAGAAGACAUGGCAUUGAGACAUCUGGUGGCCAGGGAGACAUGAGACAUCAAUCAAACGCAUGAAGAUGUACAUUGGUUUGGUCCAGAAAGGACGCACAACUUGAAAAUAGCCAUGGUGCAGGUCUGGGCUUUCAAGUUACAGGAAACUUUGGAAAAUAGUGGAAAGUGACCAAUUCAAGUCUAUUUCAUGGGAUGAGAAUGGAACUUGCAUAGUGAUUAAUGAAGAACUCUUCAAGAAAGAAAUUUUGGAAACAAAGGCUCCUUACAGAAUAUUUCAAACUGAUGCUAUCAAAAGUUUUGUUCGACAGCUCAACCUUUAUGGAUUUAGUAAAAUUCAACAGAAUUUUCAAAGAUCUGCCUUUCUAGCCACCUUUCUGUCAGAAGAGAAAGAAUCGUCUGUCUUAAGCAAGGUAUUUGACAUAUUUGAGUUACCACUUUAUGUAAAGUAUAUAUGUAAUUUUACUUUGUACAUCAGUAAAUAUGUUAAUACAUGCAGUAAGACCAGCUUUUGAAAAUUAUAUAAAAUAUUAAGGUAGAAAUUUUGUUUUGAAAUUAUUGUGUUCAGCUUGAGCGUUAACCUUUUAGUGUUUUAAGAAAUUUUGCUAACAACUUUGAAUCUUACCAGUGAAUUCCAAAUAAAUGUACCAAAGCCACUUAAUGAAAUAUUACUAUUAAUAUAUAACAUGUUUUCACUUGAGGGCUUAACAACUUGAGUGGUUUUUCACAAUAAGCACAUUCUUAAAAAUAGUAAACGAUGUUUAUGAGUUAUUUGA